rnacentral:rRNA from 1 species
GCCUACGGGGGGCAGCAGUAGGGAAUUUUCGUCAAUGGGCGCAAGCCUGAACGAGCAAUGCCGCGUGAACGAGGAAGGUCUUCGGAUCGUAAAGUUCUGUUGAAGGGGAAAAAGAGCGGAGAGAGGAAAUGGUCUCCGAUUGAUAUUACCCUUCGAGGAAGCCACGGCUAACUACGUGCCAGCAGCCGCGGUAAUACGUAGGUGGCGAGCGUUAUCCGGAAUGAUUGGGCGUAAAGGGUGCGUAGGCGGCCUGCUAAGUCUGGAGUGAAAGGUACCGGCUCAACCGGUACAGGCUCUGGAAACUG